UCCAUUGAGGGAAAAGUAGUAGUUUUGUAGAUACCCAAAUUUUGCCUUCCACUAUUCAAUUGGUUUUGAGCUUCUUCAAUCUCUAAUAUUUUAAUAUCUUCAAAAUUAUUCCCUAGGCAUUUUUGCCUUUUUUCAAAACACUAUUCAAAGUUUAAGAAAGAGGACAAUGGAUAUUUCCCAGGUAGAGAGGCCAAAAAUCGAUGAAGGUUGUUCCCUUAAACUGAUCCUAAGUCCAAAGGGUGUUUCUUGCUUUCUAUGGGGUUAAUAAUCCGAACUCACAAAGUAUGAUAAAUUUCCAUGAUAUUGUGUAAAGUCAUGGGAGACCACAUGGACGGGGAAGGCAUCUAAGUUGAUUGUUCAACCUUAAGAUGCAGGAGAUCGGGAAGAGUGACUUAGGGCAAUUUUUUCAACCUCAACUCUUAUGGUAACUGAGUUUCUUUCCUCCAAAUGUAAAUUUCCUUGAAUUCAUAAGAUUGAUUAUGGUGGGGAUGUGGGGUUUAAAUUUAGGUUAAGAACUUGAUAUGAUUGGUUAUGUAGGUGGUUGAAUUCACUUUAUUAUGUUCUAUAAUUAUCGAUUUGUGAUUACUAAGCUAGAAUUCAUCCAUGUAAUUUUUAUUUUGGUGGAUUAACAGGGAUAGAGGGUGGAAGAACCUAAAAUAAGGAAAUUGUGCAUUAAAUUGAGCUUAAAGUUAUGAAAUUACGUUAUAUUUCAUAGAAUUAGAAGGAUAUUAAUUUAAAAUCUCUUUAUUUAUUAAUUUUAUACUAUGAACAAGUAGAGGUUAUAAGAAAGAGCAAGCCUACGGUAAUUUAAUGCAUUGGAAGACAUGUAUUGAGAUAGAUUAUGGUUGAAUUAGAGUUAAGACUCUUGUUGGUUGUAUGUGUGCAUGAUUGAUGGAUUAUUUGCUUAUUUUGUUAUAAUGCACACUAUAUGAUGUAUUUACUGAAUCUUGAAUACAAGUGCGUAAAUUAAUAACUUGUAAUGUUAUUUAUUAAAAAGGCCUUGUUGUUAUGCAAUUGCUGUUGUCUUGAACUCACUAUGUGAUUAUAUUUGUAAGUGCAACUAUUUAUUUUCUGUUAGUUGAUUUAUUGCAAGGUUAUUCCCGAUAUUAUGUUUUUGUAAUUUCUCUACUUUUGACCCUUACCAUAGCAUCCAUUGUGUAUUUAUGGACUGCUGGAGGGUAGGUGAUUUGGUUCCCUAGGUGUUCGGUUGGGUUUUAAGCUAGAUUCCCUAUUUUGGUCUCUUUAUAGUUGAGAGGAGCUAUUUGGGAAAAGUUAUUUUCAGAAUCAAUAUGCCUCACAGAUCCCUCAAGAAACUGGCUUUUCACACCAAUUGUUUGUUUUUAGCUUUGAAAUUUAAGAAAUAAUAGAGAAAGAAUUUGAGAGAAAAAGAUAAUGCAACAGUAUUGUCAAUGAAAUUAUUUUAUUAAUAACUCAAAAUAUAUAUUUAUAAACAAAUUUCUAACUACACAUCAAUUUAAAUUGGGAUAACUAAUUUCUAUUCAAAUAAUAAAGGGAUAACUAAUUACUAAGUCUAAGCCAUAUUGUAUUUUAAUAAUUUAAAACUACUAAAAUUAUCUAUUUCUACUUUAUUUCUGAGACAUAUCUUCAACAAAGACGAUACAUAAAUAAGUACUUGUGGGAAGCAUUUCUCCUUUCUAUAUUAUAUUCGCCUAAACAAGAUUACAUUAUGGUAUAUUCACAUCAUUGGUGGAGAAAUAAAUGUCACCAAUGAUGUCAUGCAUCAAAUGCAAGAAAUGAUGGCAAUAAUGGAGGAUCAAAUCGAUAAACAAAACAGAACCAUUUGACAAGAAGCUAUUGCAGUUGUAAUUGCUCAACUUCAGAAUGCAGUAUUAAUUUAUCCUAAUAUACCGGUGACAUUGUCCACUCCUUCACUAAGAAAAUUUAUCUCUACACUAGCCGCUAUAGGGAGAAUUAAUGAAGGUUAGUGUCUCUACCUCUGCCUAGUCUAUAUAUCUUAAUUAUUGUUGCUGCUUCUAUAUAUCUAAACUGUUGCUAUUGCUGCUUCUCCUCUACAACUUCAAACAUAGUUAGAUCUAUUUAAUUUCCCUUUUAAGAUGGAAGAACGACCAAAUUGGAUUGAUAUUGUUGGACUAUUGUUGUAUUAUUGUAAUGUUGGACUUUUAAGUAUAGUUGUUGUAUUUUUGUAUGUAAACAUGUAUUGUUGGACUUUUAAUUCAAAUUGGACUGUAUUGUUGGACUGAUAUUGUUGGAAUAUUCCUUUUAGAUCAAUAUUUAAGUCAUUCUUGUUGGACAUUUGCUGUAUUUUUUGACUUAUAUUGUCUCUGUUGUUACUGAUAUUGUUAUUGACACUACUAAAUAUACAUGGGCUUCCAGUCAUAUGUAAUAAUUUGACUGUUGUUGGACUGUUGUUGUAUUGUUGUAUUGUUGGACUUUUAAGUAUUGUUGUUGUAUCAUUGUAUGGUCAAUUUGCUAGCAUUUAUAUUCCUUGAUUUAGUCAGUUCCUAAUGUUGGUGAAUUGUUAAUGGUUGUUUUUCUAAUUUAUAUAGGAUUUUACCAGAAUGUGGUCUUGGUUUUGGUUUUGAUAUUGAGUCAGAUACUCAAUUCACUCCCGCUAUAUCAUUUUUGAUAGCUUUAGCUGAGUUGAGGGAGGUUAAAAGGUAGCUUUAGGAACGGUUAGUUUGACCAAAUAUGUAUUUGUAGGGUACUUCCAUGCUGUUUUAUUGAAAAAUAAAUAUGGUUCCAUGUGCGUGUUUAUUGGUAAUGGUAGCUGAAUAACAUAUCUGUUGAGGAUAAGGGUCAAGUGGUGCAUACUGAUAGUGUAACCAUGUUUUGUAAGUUGAUUUGAGUUUAGGCUUCAAUCAGUCAUAUAUAGUUUUUCUCUUCCCUCCAACAUAUAGUACAUUCUAUAGGAAAAUAGAAGCCUAAUCCAUGCCUGCAUCUUCGUCUAAGUCCCAAGGUGUUAAAACCUGUAAGUUGAUACUAACAUCAUGGUAAAAAUUUAAGCAUGGGUAGCUUCUCCGCUUUCACCUUCGGAUCCUUCUUGAUUCUGCUCUAUUAUCUUUGACUGCAUUUGCAUGAGUAACAAUUAAAUUGUUAAUGUCCUGACAGCUGCAUUAUAUCAGUCCAUAAUGAAACAAGUUCCAGUGCUUUAAUAAACGAUUUUGACACAAAACUACUGCCACUUUUUAAUGUUCAUAACCACUAAUUAUAUCCUUUUGAUUAAUGUAGUAUUUCUUAGCUUCUACUUCAUUUUGUAAAAGGUUUUUCAAUUCAAGUUUGCAACUUCAAUGAAAUAGAGAACAUUCUUAGGAUCCACUGGACUACCACAGUAAUGGCCCUUAUUUUGACGAAUAUUAUCACCAAUCUUUCCUUGACAAAACAAUCUUCUGGUGCAAAGUUGAAGCACCUUUUCUUCCUAUAUGAUUUAAGGGAUGGUAGUGCUCUAGCUCAUGCUAAUAGUGAGCCACAUCUUCUUCUAUGGGUUGAUACUCUUGAAAGGUGUAACACCCCAUACUUUUGGGAUAGAAUGUAAAUCGUCAUUCCUACGCGGAAUAGUUUCAAAGGCCAAUAAAUCCUAUGCAAAUUUAGUGUUUUAAUCAGUUAUGUAGUGUGGCAAUCUAGUUGAGCAUGAUUUGAGGUCAUAGAGGUCCCUUAACUCAAAGACGAGUUGAAAGCUUUCCUAUCGGUUGAGUUUUAUUGAGCGUCUAAACUUGGGUCAACUUCCAUCGACCAUAACUUUUUGUAUAUAAUAAUUAGGGGACCUACUAUAUAUCAAAUGAAAGGUCUUUGAGUCCUCUUUCAAACGAUAUCAUUUUCUCUUCAAUCCGAUACCCGAGCAAAAAGUUAUGACUUUGUAAAGUGGAGUGCGUCGCCUAGCAAUCGCCUAAGGCUACUGGAAUUGUUGGUCCAUGGGAAAUGCGUCGCCCAGUCCAUUUUGGGCGAUGGGAAAUGUGACGCCCAACCUAUUUUGGGAGAUGGACAAUGCGUGGCACUGCCUAGCUUAGGCCAUAGGAAAUGCCUCGCAUGCACCAUGGCCCAACGGCGUAAAUACUUCGUUUUAAGUCAUUUUAAGGGCAAUCAAGUCUUUUUGCAAUCCAACACCGUCCCUAAUCAUCCUUAAAUGUAAUUAGGGUUAUUAGUUACGUUUUAACUCUCUUAAGAUCCCUAAUUGAUCUUCUAAGAACAUCAUAAGAGAAAAACAACUUAGGGCUAAACAUUCAAGCUCAAGAGAUCAACUUUUUGGCGAAUUCUUCAUUGAUUAAGGUACGUAGGGCUGUCCUAAAAACUCUAUAGGCAUAAUUUAUGAUUUUAUCAAUCUUUUGAAAGUAUGUUAUGAUGUUUAUAACAUUGGUUUAAGCAAUUAUUUUGAAUAUCCAAAUCAUGAAACGUUUUUUAAAGAUAGACAUAUUGUUUUGGUCUUGAGGCCUCCCCUUAAAAUUGAUUUUUACUCGUGUAUAUGUAAGUAUGUGUUUUGAGUUUUGAAAAGAUUAAAUCAAGAGCAUGAAUGAUGAAACCCCUCUCUUGUUAUAAUACCUCUUGAUUUCACAUGUUGUGGGUUGUUCAAUUGCAUAUUUUGAAGCAUAAGAUAAGUGUUUCACUAUUGUUUUGAACUUAAUAUUGAGUAUGAAUUGAAGAGAGGGUGUUUUAUUGUUUAUAAAUGUUUAAAGUGAUAAUUGAAAGAGAUUGCAUGGUUUGUUACAUGAUACUUGACAACUACGUGUUUGUGAAUUGAAAUUGAGGAUCUUUCCCUAAGUUUUCAUGAGUUCCACUAUACAUAUUCUCAUAUACUGUUUGGAUAGUUUGGUGGUAUGAACACAAGGUUUUGAAAGAGAAGACUGUAAUAGAAUAAUGUAUGGCUUAGAGAUAUGACUUGCAAGUCUUGGUAUGACGAUACAAAAACAGAUAAUGCCAUAACAAACUCAGAACAGAAUAGAAGUUAGAUUUCCUUCAGAUUUUUAGAAUCUGAGUUCUUAAAUAUGUAUGUUCAGAAAAGGUUAAAAAAUAAGCUUAAGAGAUCUUAGGUGGUUACCUGAAGAAGGCAUGAGUUCAGAUAACUCAUUGUUAAAAAUAGUGUUUUGCCUAUAUGGGGUAUUUUGUCCCCAAGAGAGAUUAUACGAUAGCCUAGUUCCCUGUAGCGUAUCAGACUUAGAAACUCCAACUCUUGCGGAAAACUUGGGUUGAGGGCUUAUCCGUUGAGGCAAUGGCGGAUUCGAUAUAGCCCAUGGAAUAUCAGACUUGUAGGGGGUAACACCUAGCUCAGAACUAAGACAAAUAUGUUAAAUUGAUUUAAAGAACGGUUUUAAAGUCCCAUUUACUAUGCCCAUAGAUUUUCAAAAGGUUUAUGAUGAUGUAUUUUUUUUUCAUAAAAUGCUCUCACUUAUGUUAUUUAUUAAAGUAUAUUAUUUUGGAUUGCUCUGCGUACCAGUACAGUUGUAUUGACCCCUAUAUUUCAGGAUUUGAGGCUCAGUCCCGGGGUUUCGUUAAGCAGUAGAUUGACUUGACAGAAGCUACAACUUGUGGCCUUCCUUACUUCAGAAGGCCUGGUUAUGAAACUUGUCAUGGUUAUAUUAUUUUGAUUCAUGGUCUGACUGGGGGCCUUGUCCCUGAGUUCAAACAGAUGUUAUUUUCAGUUAGUAGAGAUUUCAUAGACUAGUCAUGUACUUUGAAUGUAAUGAACUUUAUAUUGUAUUGCCUAGUUGAAUUUAAAAGUGA